rnacentral:rRNA from 1 species
UACGGGGGGGGCAAGCGUUGUUCGGAAUUACUGGGCGUAAAGGGUUCGUAGGCGGCCAAUUAAGUCAGACGUGAAAUCCCUCAGCUCAACUGGGGAACUGCGUCUGAGACUGGAUGGCUUGAGUGCAGGAGAGGAACGCGGAAUUCCAGGUGUAGCGGUGAAAUGCGUAGAUAUCUGGAGGAACACCGGUGGCGAAGGCGGCGUUCUGGACUGCAACUGACACUGAGGAACGAAAGCCAGGGGAGCAAACGGG